rnacentral:rRNA from 1 species
GAUGAACGCUGGCGGCGUGCCUAACACAUGCAAGUCGAACGGAGCUUAUUUUUUAGAGACUUCGGUCAAAGAAGCUUAAGCUUAGUGGCGGACGGGUGAGUAACGCGUGGAGAACCUGCCCUGUACCGGGGGAUAACAGCCGGAAACGGCUGCUAAUACCGCAUAAGCGCACGAGGCCGCAUGGCCCUGUGUGAAAAACUCCGGUGGUACAGGAUGGCUCCGCGUUGGAUUAGCCAGUUGGCGGGGUAACGGCCCACCAAAGCGACGAUCCAUAGCCGGCCUGAGAGGGUGAACGGCCACAUUGGGACUGAGACACGGCCCAGACUCC